CCGGGGGCACUUUGGGGAUCCGUGCCCUCUCUCCCCGCGAUGGCACUAGAGCCGGCAAAGACGCUGUCUCUGCAGUCCUUAUGGAUAUGGGUUCCCCUCUCUCACCCAUGAGGGUUACAACCAAGCUUCCAAAUGGAGUCCAUGUGAUGAGCAGAUCAACAUGGAAUAACUUCAGCAGUUUGGUGUGUGGUGGAAUUCAAGCCCAUCCCUCGUUCUUAAGUGAAUGCAGGGCUUCCUAGAGAUUCAGAGACAACGUCAGAGCCUCAGAACUCUAGGCUGACUGCAUUUCAUUAAGCAAAGUCCAGAGAGUGGGUGAAGAAUCCUGCACAGGCCAGAGAGCCCCCGCUCCUGGGGGUUGCCUUUUAUCUGAAAUUCUAUUUGGGAGCAGUAGAAGAGGAGACAAAGCUGAGUCACUGGUGUUGUGCCUGAAUCCCGUGUUUCUACAACCACCCCCCACUCUGCUAAACAGAUGCUUCCAGAAAGCAAUGAAUAGAAGAGAAAUGGAAUAUUUUGCAUGUGUUUCUUUCCUCCAGGAUUUUAAAUUAUCUUCCUCAACUUUGUAGAAUAAGGUUGCAUACUGCAGAGGCUAGAAGCUUCCUGAAUGUUUUCCUGCUGCACUUUUCACCUCCAUCCCUGCUGGCGAAACAAAAGCCUAAUGGUGACACCCCAUACCCAGGGAAGCCUUUAAGGUCACAAGCAAUCGUUGGGAGGGAUGGUUAAGGAAUGAAUCUGUUUUAUAAGAAAUAUUAAAAUUCAAUUUUCAUUAAACUUUCUAGUGUAA